rnacentral:lncRNA from 1 species
AUCAUUGUUCUUGUUAUUAUCAUUCAUUGUUUCUGUAUUCAAAAAAGUUCAAACAUUCUUGUCAUUUGAAUUGAUGGAAGAUAAUAAUAAUAAUGAUAAAUGGCGUUACUAUGANCAGACGCUUCUUUUCAACAAGAAACUUCUCCCAAUCGUGAGAAUCUUCCACCAUUUUUCCAUUUUCUUUCUCUUUUCUAGGCAUGAAAAUUGACUUCAAAUCUCUGAAUUUGUUUCCCUUUUGAUGUGACAGAGUUUUCAGAAACUCCACUGAGCUCGCAGAAUUCGGCUAUGGCGGUUGAUCCUCAAUCUCAUGGUGGCAGCCCAUGGAAACAAUUUAAAAUUUGAAUCUUUUCUUGUUUUGGAUGAACCCCAUUUUCUUGAUUUUGAUGAUUGAUCAUGUUUUGACAUGGGGCUUUAG